rnacentral:rRNA from 1 species
CUUAGGCGUGUGACUGCGUACCUUUUGUAUAAUGGGUCAGCGACUUAUAUUCUGUAGCAAGGUUAACCGAAUAGGGGAGCCGAAGGGAAACCGAGUCUUAACUGGGCGUUAAGUUGCAGGGUAUAGACCCGAAACCCGGUGAUCUAGCCAUGGGCAGGUUGAAGGUUGGGUAACACUAACUGGAGGACCGAACCGACUAAUGUUGAAAAAUUAGCGGAUGACUUGUGGCUGGGGGUGAAAGGCCAAUCAAACCGGGAGAUAGCUGGUUCUCCCCGAAAGCUAUUUAGGUAGCGCCUCGUGAAUUCAUCUCCGGGGGUAGAGCACUGUUUCGGCAAGGGGGUCAUCCCGA